CUGACACAGACUGAAGGAAGCUGUUGUGAAGGAUGCUGCAGGGCUUGCAUAAAAGGCUUUAAGAUUAUCAUUGCCACAACGCCAGAUGUACAUGUUUAUCGAAAGAUAAAUGUUGCAAACCAGCCUGAGAAAUCAAGUGGCAGCGCAGUUCUCAGAGGUGUUGUGAAGAUAGAAUGGACAAGAGAGUAACAUGUGAUGUCUUGAACAAUUUACGAUCUCCAGGAGUGAAAGGGAUGCCAGGUUCAAUGUAUGCAGAUUUUAAAAAUGACGUCCGGGUACAGUAUAAUUUCUUCGUGACAUCUUGAGUUGUAGGAUAAAGAUAAAAAAGAUCACAUAUUCACUGGCCACGUUUCAUGAGUUGAUUGCUUUUAUUUUCUGCAGCCCAGCCCAGUGCAAGCCUCUCAUUUCUAGGGGGCUGCUUGUGUCAUGUUCUUCCUCACCAAAAUAUCAAUAUUUGUUUUUCUAGUGUAUCUCCAUUACAUAAUGCAGUUUUAUUUAUGUUCAUUCUGCCAUCAACUCCAUUAGUUGAGCUUUGCAAGGGUAGCUCUGAGAACAGAGGUCACAGGUUUGGUUCCGAGAGUUUCUCAGAAGAAAGUAAUUGCAAAUAACAUUUGUAUCUGCCAAGAAAACGACAUGUAGUCAUCAGAAAUCGACCCUGACUUGAUGGGUGCCUAACAACGAUAACAACCUCUCAGGUAAGUGGACAUAAUACUGCAGUUUGAAUCAAUCUAGGAAGAGUAGUGCUUUUCUAAGCACUAGGAAUCUGUGACAGAGAAUUCGUGAUAUACUUACUGAAGUGCAGUUUCUAUGUUAUUUUACGGAUGGAAGCUUUCAAAACUACCUUUGGAGUAAAAGCCCUGUAAUUUUUAAUCUAUAUGAACAUCCAUUAGCAGCCUGCUCUAAUUGCAGCUUCAAAACUGAAUAAAGGUUGCCCCACAUGCA
rnacentral:lncRNA from 1 species